rfam:Trichomonas vaginalis G3, whole genome shotgun sequence.
GUAGUCUGCCAUACGCAGGAAGACCCGCUGAACUGAAGCAUCUCAUUAAGCGGAGGAAAAGAAACUAACUAGGAUUCCCUUAGUAAAGGCGAUCGAAAAGGGAACAGCCCAACGUCUUAAUCCCGCAAGGGAAAUGUAGUCGGUUCACCUAUUGCACUGGUCUAAGUCAGAUGGAAUGCUGCGCGAUUCAGAGUAAAAGCCUCGUAUGACCAACCGCAAGCUUACGAUGGACCGGGGAGAGUCGGAUACUUUGAGAGUAGUGUCUUAAGGGGGUGGUAUGUCCCAUCCAAGGCUAAAUAACGUGAGGAGACCGAUAGAUUACAAGUAGUGUGAACGAAAGAUGAAAAGAACUCUAAAACAGAGGGUGAAAAGUUCCUGAACUUGCUUAGGGUUAAGGCUAUUUAUAGUACCCGUCUUGAAACACGGAUUAGGGAGUUUAUCUGUAGUGCGAGUCUUUGCACGUUAACUGUAAAGGCGUAGAGAAAGCAACUGGCGUUUGCAUGGCUACUGAGCAUUACUGAUAGGACCCGAAAGGUGGUGAACUUUGCCUGCACAGGUUGAAGUCAGGGGAAACUCUGAUGGAGGACCGUACGGGUUAUUGAUGUGCAAAUCAUUUUUCUGAUGUAGGUAAAGGUGCGAAAGACUCAUCGAACCACCUAAUAGCUGGUUUCCUCCGAAGUUUCCCUCAGGAUAGCUGUAAUGCAUUUAGUUAAGGGGAGUAGAGAUAUGGGGUAGAGGUGCAGGGAGCCUUCGGGUUCUCAACUUAUUUCCAAACUUCGAACCUCCUUUGUAGGCAUUUACCUAACUGGAAAUGCUUAA